rnacentral:rRNA from 1 species
AUUGAACGCUGGCGGCAGGCCUAACACAUGCAAGUCGAACCAGUGGCGGACGGGUGAGUAAUGUCUGGGAAACUGCCUGCUGGAGGUGGAUAACUACUGGAAACGGUAGCUAAUACCGCAUACCCUCGGAUGUGCCCCGAUGGGAUUAGCUAGUAGGUGGUGUAAUGGCUCACCUACGCGACGAUCCCUAGCUGGUCUGAGAGGCUGACCGGCCACACGGGAACAGAGACACGGUCCAGACUCCUAGGGGAGGAAGCAGUGGGGAAUAUUGCACAAUGGGCGCAAGCGGGAUGGAUCAAUGCCGCGUGUGUGAAGAGGGCCUUCAGGUUGUAAAGCACUAACAGCGUGGAGGCGUUAAUCGCAGAAGAAGCACCGGCUAACUCCGUGCCAGCAGCCGCGGUAAUAC